UUGCCACCAUCAAGUUAGGGGGAGGACGCUGCCACUGUCACCAUUGAAGCUUGCCGGAGAAGGAGCUAUUGACAGAAGAAACUGCUGCUGCUCUUAUCUACUUUGUGCUGCUCUAUUCAGUCUCUACUUUAGGUUUCGUAGUUAUCGGGGCCCUCUGCCACUAGAAACCGAUAUUGGAGCUGCCCAGAACCACUUUGGUUGCUGCCCAUGAAACAAAACGAGUGUUGGAAUUGCUAACGGAGCUGCUGUGUUUGGUGAUUUUCGUGAGUUAUGACAUUGAGUGAUACAGGUUCGAAGAAUCAAUUUGAAGCUGUGGGCGAUUAUAGAAUUUAUUUAUGAGUUAAGUUUCUUUCAUAGAAUUCCCUCGCCCUAGUUGCUUUAGAUUUUAUUUUGUACAGAGGGAUAAGAGUUGUAACUGAGUUUCAUUCAAAUUCUUUGUAUAUCA